CAUUUUUGUUUCCCUUCAAAUGAUUUUUGCCUUAAUCCUCUUUCGGAACAGGCAGCCGCCAACCCAGUCCUUGUACCAUUUAUGGUCUGCUUCGUCGCCCGCACCUGCCAAAAUUGUGAUACCGCCAUAUCCAAAUUCAAAUUUCACUCUCCCGCACUCUUCCUUCGUCUCUCUCUCUCUCUCUCUCUCUCUCUCUCUCUCUGUCUCUCUGUGUCAAAAUCUCAAGCCCUAACUUUCUGAUUAUCUAUGUCCUCCAAAUUCCUCUUCAAUGUUACUCAAAUCUGUAUCUCCCUUUGUUUAUCUUCCUCCAUUGUCGACUGUCCGUUCACAAGAUCGACGUCCCAGAUCGAGCUAUGAUUAUGCGAUAGAGGGGCGUACGCUUCUUUUAAAAAAAAAAAAAAAAUUCAGUUUUGGCCCAACUGAUUUUCCUCGACUCCGAAUGAUGUCUUCCCGUAACCAGAAUAGACCUCCUCGUAGUCCCUCUACUGUAGAAAAAGGAUGUAAAUGAUGAUGCUCCCUUGGACAAGCGGAGGAGGAUUGGAAUGUCAAGAACGGUGGGACAGAUGGCGAUUGGCCCUAGGAGGCAGCCAUUUUCUGUGAUCAAUAGUCGGCAAGAUGUUCCAGCUGCUGCCAAUGCUAGCAGUACUGAAGUUACAGAGAGUGCCAAUGUUGACUUCACAAAGGAAGACAUUGAGGCCUUUCUCAAUGAGAAGUUGAAGCUAAGCAAGCUUGAUUUCAAACAGAUCAGGUCAAAGUUCCUUUAACUUGACAAGAUACUGCGAUGUGAACUAGACAAGCUGUCCAACCACAAGACAAAGCACGAGUGGCUACAACAUCUUUCUUAGCGCGAAUUGCUUCUCCUGGUCUCCAAGAAGCAACCCAACCAACAGUAAAAGUUGGAUAGCUCAUCGGUCGCUGUAUCCUUUCACAUUUACAAGUUACAAAUAUACAAAUGAAGCCACUUCCGGGAGCAGUGUUUCAACUAUUGAGGAAUAAGCUUGGAGUUCAUAUAGCACCUUUUCCAAACUUUAGGGGGCAUGAUAAAGAAGAAGAGAAGUCAAACACAAACAUAUCCAUUGCAUCAACGUCAUCCACGACUAUGAUUGCUCAAUCAUCAAAAAAGCAACGUUCACUUUCUAAGUCAAGAGAUUUUUCAUAUGGCAAGACUUGCAAGAUUUCCAUUAAUAAAAAAUGCCUUUAAGACAUUAGUUUACCUCUUUUAAUAUUUUUGAAUUUUGUCUAACAUAGGAAGAUGUUAAUUAGCUUCCUUUUUUGCUCAAAACCACACCUUUAUAAAUUCUAUCCAUUCUGUAAAACUUAAAUACACAAAAUAAUACACAUAGUUAGUUACCUUCUUCAAUUCGAGCAGUACUCUCACCACAGUUCAAAAGCAACAACUAGGUUGCCAGCUAGCACUAGUUAGAUAUAUAUAUAUAAGUAAUAAGCAAGCAUGCAUGCAUCUAUUGUAUGUGGAAUAAUGCCAUGAUAUGCAUAUUAUCAUGGCCCUUUAUGUUAUUGUAUG